rnacentral:rRNA from 1 species
UACGUAGGGUGCGAGCGUUAAUCGGAAUUACUGGGCGUAAAGCGUGCGCAGGCGGUUUUGUAAGCCAGAUGUGAAAUCCCCGGGCUCAACCUGGGAAUGGCAUUUGGGACUGCAAGGCUGGAGUGCGGCAGAGGAGACUGGAAUUCCUGGUGUAGCAGUGAAAUGCGUAGAUAUCAGGAGGAAUACCGAUGCGAAGGCAGGUCUCUGGGCUGACACUGACG